rnacentral:rRNA from 1 species
UACGUAGGGUGCGAGCGUUGUCCGGAAUUAUUGGGCGUAAAGAGCUCGUAGGCGGCUUGUCGCGUCGGUUGUGAAAGCCCGGGGCUUAACUCCGGGUCUGCAGUCGAUACGGGCAGGCUAGAGUGUGGUAGGGGAGAUCGGAAUUCCUGGUGUAGCGGUGAAAUGCGCAGAUAUCAGGAGGAACACCGGUGGCGAAGGCGGGUCUCUGGGCAGUAACUGACGCUGAGGAGCGAAAGCGUGGGGAGCGAACAGG